AGUGCACUUCCAGUUGUGGGUUCCGUUUCAGGGAUCGUCGUUAACUAACCGAAAGAAAAGGACGACAACGUUCAAAUCUCGGUGAGUCUACCUGUCGGUAUCUGGUGGACAUGAGUCCUGAUUGGAUGAGAUCCUAGCGUCUAGAACCAGGUGUUCUACCAUCAGAGGACAUCAUGGAGGAUCCGUUAGCAGAUAGUCCCUGUUCGUCUGAGCCGGACAGUCCUGGAGGUCUGAACCGAGGCCUCUUGGAUCCAUCUGAGGUCCUCUACCAAGAUCUCUCCAUCCUGGUCCCAGAGACACCCAGCCCACAGCUCGGCAAGCGGAGGCGACGCGCUCGCGUCUCAGAGGAACCUCUCAGUCCUGUAAGUGUGAACACAUUGUCCUCUCGUCUUCAGCUCCGUCCAGAUGCUGACGUCUGUGUCUGUCUGUCUCUGUGUGUGUGUGUCUGUCUGUGUUUGUGUGUGUGUCUGUCUGUGUC